UUGAUAGCUCAGCCAGUAGAGCAUGAUACUCUUAAUGUCAGGGUCAUAGGGUUGAGCCCCAUGUUGGGCAAAA